rnacentral:rRNA from 1 species
GAUGAACGCUGGCGGCGUGCCUAAUACAUGCAAGUCGAGCGAACGGACGAGAAGCUUGCUUUUCUGAUGUUAGCGGCGGACGGGCGAGUAACACGUGGAUAACCUACUUAUAAGACUGGGAUAAUUUCGGGAAACAGGAGCUAAUACUGGAUAAUAUUUUGAACCGCAUGGAUCAAAAGUGAUAGAUGGUCUUGCUGCCACUUAUAGAUGGAUCCGCGCUGCAUUAGUUAGUUGGUAAGGUAACGGCUUACCAAGGCAACGAUGCAUAGCCGACCUGAGAGGGUGAUCAGCCACACUGGAACUGAGACACGGUCCAGACUCCUACGGGAGGCAGCAGUGGGGAAUCUUCCACAAUGGGCGAAAGCCUGACGGAGCAACGCCGCGUGAGUGAUGAAGGUCUUCGGAUCGUAAAACUCUUUUAUUAGGGAAGAACAUAUGUGUAAGUAACUGUGCACAUCUUGACGGUACCUAAUCAGAAAGCCACGGCUAACUACGUG